UGAACGCUGGCGGCAGGCUUAACACAUGCAAGUCGAGCGGAAACGAGAAGUACUUGUACUUCGGCGUCGAGCGGCGGACGGGUGAGUAAUGCUUGGGAAUAUGCCUUGAGGUGGGGGACAACAGUUGGAAACGACUGCUAAUACCGCAUAAUGUCUACGGACCAAAGAGGGGGAUUCUUCGGAACCUCUUGCCUUUAGAUUAGCCCAAGUGAGAUUAGCUAGUAGGUGAGGUAAUGGCUCACCUAGGCGACGAUCUCUAGCUGGUUUGAGAGGAUGAUCAGCCACACUGGGACUGAGACACGGCCCAGACUCCUACGGGAGGCAGCAGUGGGGAAUAUUGCACAAUGGGGGGAACCCUGAUGCAGCCAUGCCGCGUGUGUGAAGAAGGCCUUCGGGUUGUAAAGCACUUUCAGUUGUGAGGAAAGGUUAGUAGUUAAUAACUGCUAGCUGUGACGUUAGCAACAGAAGAAGCACCGGCUAACUCC
rnacentral:rRNA from 1 species